CCUUAAUCCUAGCAAUUCCAGCUCCAUUAUCCUGGGAAUUCUACCUCCACAAUCCCAGGAAUUCCAGCUCCAUAAUCCCAGUCUCUCAGGGCUGUGGAAUUCCCUCUCCAUUAUCCCAGGCUCUCAAGGCUCUGUAAUCCCAGGAAUUCCCGCCCCGUUAUCCCAGAAUCCCGACUCCGUUAUCCCAGUCUCUCAGGGCUCUGUUAUUCAGGAAUUCCCGCUCCGUUAUCGCAGAAUUCCAGCUCUGUUAUUCUAGAAUUCCAUCUCUGCCACCCACUCAGUCAUCCCAGUCUUUCAGGGCUCCAUUGUCCUGGAACUCCCGCUCUGUUAUCCCAGAAUUCCCGCUCCAUCGUUACUUUUCCCGGCAUUCCCGCUCUCCCCUCAGGGCUCUGUUAUCCCGUCCUUCCCGCUGUGUUAUCCCUCACCAUUCCCGCUCUCCCGGCCAUUCCCGCAGUGUUAUCCCGGCAUUCCCGAGCUGUCCCUCAUUCCCGCUCUUAUCCCGGCUACUCCCGCUGUCCCUCAGGGCUGUGUUAUCCCGUCAUUCCCCCUCUGUUAUCCCAUCAUUCCUGAGCUGUCCCUCAGCAUUCCCGAGCUGUGCCCUGUCCCUCAUUCCCACUCUCCCGGCAUUAUUCCCGUUAUCCAAUCCCUCAUUCCCGCUCUCCCGUUCCCGGCAUUCCCGCAGCUGCAGCAGGGCAGCGACGAUGGCGGCCGCCGGGGGGCGCAUGCGCAGAAGAGCUCCAGCACGGGCCGCUGCCAGGGCAUUCCCGCUCUGUUAUCCUAUCCCUCAUUAUUCCCGCUGUGUUAUCCCGGCUAUCCCCGCUGUCCCUCAUCAUUCCCAGCCCGUUAUCCCGCCUCUCAUUCCCGCUCUCCCCCCGGCUGUUCCCGUUAUUCCCGCAGCUGCUGCAGCGCAGCGACGAUGGCGGCCGCCAGGGGGCGCAUGCGCAGAAGAGCUCCCGCACGGGCCGCUGCCAGGGCAUUCCCGCUGUGUUAUCCCACCCCUCACUCCCGCUGUCCCCCACCCCUCAUUCCCGCUGUGUUAUCCCGGCUAUCCCCGCCGUCCCGCACCAUUCCCACCCCGUUAUCCCGGCAUUAUUCCCGUAAUUAUCCCGCCCCUCAUUCCCGCUCUCCCCCCGGCUGUUGUUCCCGGCAUUCCCGCAGCUGCAGCAGCGCAGUGACGAUGGCGGCCGCCGGGGGGCGCCGCGGGGGCUCGCGGGCGGUGCAUGCGCAGAAGAGCUCCCGCACGGGCGCCUGUGAGGGCUCCUGCGCCGCCUCCGCGGGCAGCGGCGGCCGCGAGCCCAGCGCGGCCUGGUACGCGGCCUCGUCCAGGGAAUCCUCCGAGCACGAAUCCUCUGGGAUAACGGGAAGCAGGGACAGGGAGACAAGGGAGAGAGGGAGCGGCUGUUGGGAGCGGGUACCGGGAAUAAUCCCGACCCCGAUCCCAGCCCGCCGCUUCCUGAUGCUCCCAGCGUGAUCCCAAGCUUUCCUUGGGCACUCCCAGCAAUUCUCUGGGAAUUCCAGCCCAGCCCCUCCUCACCCUCCCAGCCAGCAAUUCCCUUCUGAGAUCCCAAGAUCCAAAAACGCCAAAACCCCAAAAUCCCAACCCUCUGGAAUGGUGGCAGGGAGCGGGAAUCCCGGCCCCAAUCCCAGCCCGGCGUUUCCUGAACUUCCCAGAGUGAUCCUGACACUGCACCUCCUCACCUUCCCAGCCAGGAAUUCCUUCCCAAAAUCCCAAAAGCCCAAGAUCCCAAAAUCCCACCCCUCUGGAAUCCUGGGAAGGAGCAGCCGUCGGCAGCGGAUCCAGGGAAUCCCAGCCCAGCACUUCAUGAUGUACCCAGGGUGAUCCCAACCUUUCCUUGGACCCUCUUGGCAAUCCUCCGGAAAUUCCAGCUCAGCCCCUCCUCACCCAUCCCAGUCGGGAAUUCCUUGCUAAAAUUCCAAAAUCCCGAAACGCCAAUAUCCCAAAAUCCCAACCCUCUGGAAUGGCACGAGGGAGUGGCUGUUGGGAGCGGGUCCGGGAACAAUCCCAGCCCCAAUCCCAGCCCAGCGCUUCCUGAUGUUCCCAGGGUGAUCCUGACGUUGCCAGGGAUCCUCUGGGAAUUCCAGCCUCUCCUCAUCCUCGCAGACAGGAAUUCCUUCCCAAAAUCCCAAGAUCCCAAAAUCCCAACCCUCUGCAAUGGCGGCAGGGAGCGGCCGUUGGGAGCAGAUCCCAGGAAUCCUGCCCUGAUCCCAGCCUGGCGCUUCCUGAUGUUCCCAGGGUCCUACCCUUUCCUUGGACACCCCACGGGAUUCUCUGGAAUUCCAGCCCAGACAGGAAUCCCUUCCCAAGAUCCCAAAAUCCCAAAAUCCCCAAAUCCCGACCCUCUGGCCAUGGUGGGAGCCAUUCCCUGUCCUGCCAUUCCAGGCCCUUUUCCCAAAUCCCUCUCCAGCUCUCCUGGGUUGGAUCCAGCCCCAUCCCAGCUCCUCCUUGAGAG
rnacentral:lncRNA from 1 species